UGCUAACCACAGUAAAGAAUAUUUGUUUGAAAUUUUUUAACACUUACUCAGAAAAAUGCUCGAACUACUUGACUUUCAAAGCUCAUAAUUAACGUGUUUACACACUGAUAUAAUAUGGUUGUUAAACAUUACAGACCUGUAAUCGUAUAAGACACUAUACACCUCGUGUGCUUGCAUUAACUUAUCCAAAAAUAUAUUUAUUUCAAGCC
rnacentral:lncRNA from 1 species